rnacentral:snRNA from 1 species
AUACUCUGGUUUCUCUUCAGAUUGUAUGGAUCUUUUGCCUUUUACUAAAGAUUUCUGUGAAAAGGAAUAUAUAUAAGUUUCUACCCAGAUCCGUUCAUCUUUUUUGUAUACGCUACCUGGCUUCCGCU